CGUCUAUAUACGUAUAGCAUAUCAAUAAGCGGAGGAAAAGAAACUAACAAGGAUUCCCUUAGUAACGGCGAGUGAAGCGGGAAGAGCUCAAAUUUGAAAUCUUCAAGGUUUUACCUUGACGAAUUGUAGUUUAAAGAAGUGUUUUCUGUUAGAGAGUUUAGGUAAAAGUUCCUUGGAAUAGGGACAUCAUAGAGGGUGAGAAUCCUGUAUUUGACCAUUAUUUUCUAGCUGUGUGAUACACUUUCAAAGAGUCGGAUUGUUUGGGAAUGCAGUCCAAAAUGGGUGGUAAAUUUCAUCUAAAGCUAAAUAUUGGCGAGAGACCGAUAGCGAACAAGUACCGUGAGGGAAAGAUGAAAAGAACUUUGAAAAGAGAGUUAAACAGUACGUGAAAUUGUCAAAAGGGAAGCGUUUGACACCAGUGUUGUUUUUCCGAAAAUCAAUUAGGACUGGCUGGAUUUUGUAGUUGUAGUUGACCUUAUCAGCUUUCUUCAGCUCUUUUUCGAGUCUGGUGCUUAAUGCACUUUUCGGUUAACAAGUCAACAUCAAUUUCUUUUGUUGUAAAAGGGUAUUUGGAAGGUGGCUUUCUUUUCGGAGAAAGUGUUUAUAGCCUUAUACCUCUACAAUCGGAGAGAUUGAGGUCUGCAGCGUAGAUCCUUCGGGGCUAGAUACACUUGUGCUAAGUUAUAGCUUUUCAUAGACAACUUGUUGACUAUGUUUAGUCAUGUAGCUUACCCGCUUGUGCUAUUUUACCUACGCUUAGGAUGUUGAGUCAUCACACAUCUCU
rnacentral:rRNA from 1 species